CUGGCGGAAUGCUUUACACAUGCAAGUCGAGCGGCAGCGCGGGGGCAACCCUGGCGGCGAGCGGCGAACGGGUGAGUAACACAUCGGAACGUACCCUGUCGUGGGGGAUAACACAUCGAAAGAUGUGCUAAUACCGCAUACGACCUGAGGGUGAAAGCGGGGGACCGUAAGGCCUCGCGCGACAGGAGCGGCCGAUGUCGGAUUAGCUAGUUGGUGGGGUAAAGGCUCACCAAGGCGACGAUCCGUAGCUGGUCUGAGAGGACGACCAGCCACACUGGAACUGAGACACGGUCCAGACUCCUACGGGAGGCAGCAGUGGGGAAUUUUGGACAAUGGGGGCAACCCUGAUCCAGCCAUUCCGCGUGAGUGAAGAAGGCCUUCGGGUUGUAAAGCUCUUUCGGCAGGAACGAAACGGUGGAGGCUAAUAUCCUUCAUCAAUGACGGUACCUGAAGAAGAAGCACCGGCUAACUACGUGCCAGCAGCCGCGGUAAUACGUAGGGUGCGAGCGUUAAUCGGAAUUACUGGGCGUAAAGCGUGCGCAGGUGGUUUUGUAAGACAGAUGUGAAAUCCCCGGGCUUAACCUGGGAACUGCGUUUGUGACUGCAAGACUAGAGUGCGGCAGAGGGGGGUGGAAUUCCACGUGUAGCAGUGAAAUGCGUAGAGAUGUGGAGGAACACCGAUGGCGAAGGCAGCCCCCUGGGUCGACACUGACGCUCAUGCACGAAAGCGUGGGUAGCAAACAGGAUUAGAUACCCUGGUAGUCC
rnacentral:rRNA from 1 species